GUCGUACUUGACUUUCAGCCUAUGUCAUCUGGACUUUAGCUGGCCUGGUUAAAACGAAGAAUUCCAAAAUAACUAUAUUUUAUUACAACUGAGAUCUCAUGGCAACUCCAUAAUACAAUUUCAUAUAAAUGCAUACAAUAUAUUUCACAAUAUUUAUAGUUCAUCAUACAUAGAUAAUGUCAAGCUGUAAUAUAUUAAAUGUUUCUUGCUAUUACGUAAUACGCAAAUAUUUCUGUUCUGGAGAUCAAUCCUGCAUCGGUACGUUUUCAAUAUACAUGAAACAACAAAUAUUUUCUUUGUGUUCUGUUGCGUUGUCAAGGUAAACCAAAGUGACAAACAAAGAUUUCUUUAAACUUCGUUGAAUAUUAAAUAUAACCAAAUAACAGAAUUAAACUUUACUACGAAUAAAUUAUGCUUCAAAUAAACAAAUCUCCUGUAAACAAAUUCG
rnacentral:lncRNA from 1 species